rnacentral:rRNA from 1 species
AUUGAACGCUGGCGGCAGGCCUAACACAUGCAAGUCGAGCGAGCGGCGGACGGGUGAGUAAUAUCUGGGAAACUGCGUGAUGGAGGGGGAUAACUACUGUAAACGGUAGCUAAUACCGCAUACCAUCAGAUGUGCCCAGAUAGGAUUAGCUAGUAGGUGGGGUAACGGCUCACCUAGGCGACGAUCCCUAGCUGGUCUGAGAGGAUGACCAGCAACACUGGAACUUAGACACGGGCCAGACUCAUAGGGGAGUCAGAAGUGGGGAAUAUUGCAAGAUGGGCGCAAGCCUGAUGCAGCCAUGUCGGGUGUGUGAAGAAGGCCUUCGGGUUGUAAAGCACUUUCAGCGGGGAGGCGUUACCCGCAGAAGAAGCACCGGCUAACUCCGUGCCAGCAGCCGCGGUAAUUC